UCUCUCUUGCUUUUGUCAUGGUCCGGGUGAAUACGGGGUGUUUCCACUCUGCUGGGCUCCACCUUCAGACGGAGACUCCAAUCAGCUUCCACACCUGGUUCCAAUCAAGUCACCUGCAUAUAAGACCAGCGUUCACGACAGACCCCUGCCAGAUCUUCUGCUAACACAUGACCCAUCUGCCUGCCUCCCUGCUCAGCUCCCCACUCCAAGCCUAUUCUGGAUCUGCUUUGGACACUCCUCACCCGGAACCCCCUGGACACUCCCUCCUCGAUUGACACUCCAAAUCUGCAACGCUGACUUCACACCUCCCUCCAAGCCGCUGCCCCCUUUCUCCAUUCCCCCGGAUCCCUCUGUGGAAUCCAGCCCUCAGAGUUUCUCGUUCACAGUCUUGCCUCACAGUUUUCCGCUCAUAGCUUUCACAGUUCAUAGCAUGCAUAGGUUAUAGCAUUCUUAGUUUUCUGUUUUGUAACUUCGCUCAGCUCUGUAAAUAAACUCUGUGCUCACGCCC